rnacentral:rRNA from 1 species
GUGGGGAAUCUUGCGCAAUGGACGAAAGUCUGACGCAGCGACGCCGCGUGGGUGAUGAAGGCCUUCGGGUUGUAAAGCCCUGUGGGGAGGGACGAAUUAGUGUUGGCUAAUAUCCAGCAUGAUGACGGUACCUCCUUAGCAAGCACCGGCUAACUCUGUGCCAGCAGCCGCGGUAAGACAGAGGGUGCAAACGUUGUUCGGAAUUACUGGGCGUAAAGCGCGUGUAGGCGGCCUUGCAAGUCGGAUGUGAAAGCCCUCGGCUCAACCGGGGAAGUGCACCCGAAACUGCAAGGCUCGAGUUCCGGAGAGGAUAGUGGAAUUCUCGGUGUAGAGGUGAAAUUCGUAGAUAUCGAGAGGAACACCGGUGGCGAAGGCGGCUAUCUGGACGGUGACUGACGCUGAGACGCGAAAGCGUGGGGAGCAAACAGGAUUAGAUACCCUGGUAGUCC